rnacentral:lncRNA from 1 species
UAUGGUCACUGUGAUAAUAUUUCAAAUUAAGCGUUAAAAUUGCCAAUACGGAAGUAGUUGCAUAGUGUGCCUGUAUCUGUCUAACUAGAAAAACAUUCAACAAGCUUGAGAAAAUUUUGCUAAGUGCAAAAGUGCGAGUGCAUGUGCUCGUGCCACUGUUUUGGUUGGUUUGGUGCUUCCAUUGUCUUGUAAGUUCACAGGAAAAGUAAAGGGAUGGGUUGCAUAAGGGAAGUCAUCAAUAGUAAAUUGAAUGGUAUUGACUGAGUGAGCUACCAACUCACAGUCAUCAGCAAAAAGAAGCUCACUAAUGAAGAAAUCAGCCACAUGUGUCUGCAGACCGAACAACUUGCAUCAGUAAAAAACUGAAUAAAUAUAGCUCUGCCAAUGGCACAAAUUGAUUCCAUCUGCACAACAGAGACAAGAUGGAAAGGAGUAUGGAAACCAUUUAUGAUAUUAAAGAGAUCUUACCAUUUUCCACCUCUCUAACCAUCAUCUUAUUACAGAAGACUUAACUAGGUGAGAAAUAGAAUUUGCAGGGCUUUCACAGGUCUACAAAAGCUUCAAGAGUCCCUUGCAAUUUACAUUGUCAAAACCUUUAGUUAGGUCAACAGUCAGCCAGCAAAGCUGCAAUUUGACUUGGUACUAUUAGUAAGGCUCUAAAGGUCAGGUGUGUGGUGUUACUUUCUUACUAACUCCACACUAAAGUUUUGGGAAGACAGAUUAAACAAAACAGAAAUUGAGUUGCUCCGUUUAGGCACGCUAGGGUUUUCCUAGCAUCAGAGACCAGAAAAGACAAAAUAAUUGUCACAGUUUGCAUCAUGAUUAUUUGUAAUAGAUACUGUUGGUUUCUUUGAAUUGCUGUGAAAUUGACUCUUGCUUUCAGAUAAUGUGGAAAGACCAGCUGACCAUCCAAAAUUCAUGACAACGCUUGAAGACAGAGGUUUGAAGCAAUGUCUCCAUCUCUGAACAUGAGCAGAAGAAGAAAAUUGAAGCAGUUUUCCAAUCUAGUUACUGGAUCACUGGUGAGGGAAAAGCUGGUAAAACAGAUGAAAGCGUCGUGUGGACUGGACUUGAUCUGUGGACUACCUGUAGAACCCGCAGAACUCAUCAGCAUCCCCUCUACUGCUUAUAUUCUACUUCAUGUAAAGGUUGUUGCUAGUUCUGGAAGAAAAAAACAAGCUUGCAAACAGAAAACCAAUUUGCUUAAAGCUUACCUUACACUGAAAGUUGUGGGCACACGGAGCAGAGCUGAUUGGCUAGCUUCAGCAGUGGAGUACCUCAAAAAGAAGUUGAUAUUAACUUCAACACCUGAAAAUCUUUCUCUGAAUAUUAUAUUUGAAUUCAUCUUAACACAGAGCGGGCAGAACAAUAAUAAAUAUCAAGUUUGUGCUGUUUGAAGCAGAUGCCCUGGCAGAAGCAAAUAAGGAACCAUCAACGGCAUGCCGCUCCAAAGGGAAGGGGUGCUGUGAACUAAGCCUGGCAACAAGGCAGGCAGAGGAGUGGCCUUACCAGCAAAGAUGAUGGUACCUGAGCAAAACAAGAAGAGCAGGUCCAAGGGACAGUAAUUAGGAUCAGCCAAAAGACCAGGUUGCUGCAGAAGUUCGUGGGGAUGAGGCAGGUCUGAAGUUGAGUCAAUCCUAAGGGUUGGGUCAGGUUUGGGAUCAACAGGGUGCAUGGCUUGGAUGCAGUGCACCUCGGAUAGCUCCCCUUCUCUUUUUGGCCUGUACAAGGGAAGACUAGCCUCCCAUCUUUAAUAGUUAAACUCACCUGCAGUCCUCGAACAAAACUUAGUACAGAGAUUUGCUCCAUCCCUGGACCACUGGACCGUCUGGGCAUUAGUUCUGCUCCUGAAUUUAAUAUGCUACAAGAGCAAGCCUGGUGAACCUAUUUUAAGGGAUUAUCAGUGAAUAUAUUUCCAUAUAAAUUUUUAAAAGUGUUUUUUUUUUAAGGAUGAUGUAGCCUUCUACAUCUUUAUUAUUGGAAUGUAACAUUUCCAUUGUGAUAUUUUUCUUUUCUGGGUUCAGACCUCUUCAAAAUAAUGAGAAAUCAGAUGGUUCGGGUAACUAAUGCUUGCUUACGUGCUGAGAUAGAUGUUGCUGAAUGUGCUGAAGACAAUAAAAUAAUUAUUUUACUUCUUGUAAGCA